rnacentral:misc_RNA from 1 species
GAAAUGCGAUAAGUAAUGUGAAUUGCAGAAUUCAGUGAAUCAUCGAAUCUUUGAACGCACAUUGCGCCCGCCAGUAUUCUGGCGGGCAUGCCUGUCCGAGCGUCAUUUCAACCAUCAAGCCCCCGGGCUUGUGUUGGGGACCUGCGGCUGCCCGCAGGCCCUGAAAACCAGUGGCGGGCUCGCUGUCACACCGAGCGUAGUAGCAAUCACCUCGCUCAGGGCGUGCUGCGGGUUCCGGCCGUUAAACAGCCUUACGAAACCCAAGGUUGACCUCGGAUCAGGUAGGAAGACCCGCUGAACUUAAGC